rnacentral:lncRNA from 1 species
CCUAGACGUGCUUUGCAUAUGCAGGAAUUAAAAUAUCUUAAAGUGUAUGUUGGUUCUUAUGUAUGUUUGUAAUAUUAGUCAAAAUAUGCAUUUACACGUGCUCAAUUACUAGUGUACAGAAAGGGAAGAAAAAGGCAAAAAAUGGCAUAACGUGAAAUAGAAAGAGUAACAAUGAAAAGAAAACGUGAAAGAAAAGAAAAGGAAAGAUAAACAUGUAAAACCCA